GCUUAGGGCGUCCGACCAGAAAUAUGAUGCGGCUAUGAGCAUGGGUUCAUUUCUAGCCAUAUCUGACAGAGAAAGGGUAAUGCACUGACUGAUGCGGCGCUCUUUCUAGAAGACCCUUUUGGAAUUGGCCAUCCUAGGAUACCAGUUUUUCCAUCCGGGUGUGCGGUCGGGCCAAGAUCUAAAGGCGUGAUCCCAAUUGUCCAGAUCCAUCGAUGCAGAUUUAAAAGGGGUUCUAUUAGUCUCCAAAUUAAUUAGAUCUGUUGAAUCAGGGUCUCCCAUGGGCCCUAUGGUGAUGAAUCUAGAGGUAUCAGCUACGGGGAUGGUUAUUCUGUCUCUAAGCUCCUGAGAAAUGCGAAAAUAGCUGAGUAAGGAAAGGAAAAUAGAAGCAUGGGAAAAUGAUGAAGGUAGAGAGGUGUACCUCGGGGACGGUGGUAAGAGUGGCCAUGGAACUAGUUUGGAAUAUGAAAUUAUUAGCAAAUGAAUCACCGAUGGUCGCUGGAGAUCUUUGAUGGUCGCUGGGAAUCAUCAAAGGUCGCCUUUCGCUUGGAGUAAAGAGGAAGCAAGGUGUGGCGAUGCGAGAAGAUGAACCGGUAGGGAAGAAGAUGACGGUCGUAUAUUUAUAAACUCACUCGAGACGGUAAAUGUGGUAUCUCAUCCGCCACCUAUGCGAAACCCAAAGAGCUGUUACCCCUAGACGCUUUUUCAGGCAAUCAUGACUAAGGAGAUUUCGGAACAGAAAAUAUUUUGUUACUUGUUAAUUGGUAAACAUCGGCGCUUUCCCAGGGAAGAUUUGCUCUUGUAUUUGACAUUUUACUUGUCCUUGUCAAUCUGCAGAUCGAUAAGGCUACAACCCGAACAAGAGCAAAGUAGAUUCUCCCGGUUUUCGUGUGUUAGUGCGUGAAGGUUGUCUCUUUAUUUUUGCAUCAACAAGUUCAUCCUCUUUGCCCUUCAAACGGAUGUUUAGACCCGGC
rnacentral:lncRNA from 1 species